rnacentral:rRNA from 1 species
CCCUUCAGUGCUGCAGCUAACGCAUUAAGCAUUCCGCCUGGGGAGUACGGCCGCAAGGCUGAAACUCAAAGGAAUUGACGGGGGCCCGCACAAGCGGUGGAGCAUGUGGUUUAAUUCGAAGCUACGCGAAGAACCUCACCAGGUCUUGACAUACUAUGCAAAUCUAAGAGAUUAGACGUUCCCUUCGGGGACAUGGAUACAGGUGGUGCAUGGUUGUCGUCAGCUCGUGUCGUGAGAUGUUGGGUUAAGUCCCGCAACGAGCGCAACCCUUAUUAUCAGUUGCCAGCAUUAAGUUGGGCACUCUGGUGAGGCUGCCGGUGACAAACCGGAGGAAGGUGGGGAUGACGUCAAAUCAUCAUGCCCCUUAUGACCUGGGCUACACACGUGCUACAAUGGAUGGUACAACGAGUUGCGAACUCGCGAGAGUAAGCUAAUCUCUUAAAGCCAUUCUCAGUUCGGAUUGUAGGCUGCAACUCGCCUACAUGAAGUCGGAAUCGCUAGUAAUCGCGGAUCAGCAUGCCGCGGUGAUACGUUCCCG